rnacentral:rRNA from 1 species
UACGAAGGUGGCAAGCGUUGUUCGGAUUCACUGGGCGUACAGGGUGUGUAGGCGGUUUGGUAAGCCUUCUGUUAAAGCUUCGGGCCCAACCCGGAAAGCGCAGAGGGUACUGCCAGGCUAGAGGACGGGAGAGGAGCGCGGAAUUCCCGGUGUAGCGGUGAAAUGCGUAGAGAUCGGGAGGAAGGCCGGUGGCGAAAGCGGCUUCCUGGUCCAGCACCGACGUUCAGGCACGAAAGCGUGGGGAGCAAACAGG